UUUUACAGGAACAUAAAAAUUCCAUACACAAUAUGUUAUGAAACAUUGGUUGUAUCAGUGCUCUUUGACUCUGGAAAGUAGUAAUACCUGAAGUCUUGAGGAAGGCGUGAAGGUGCCUUUUUUUCCGUUGGGAACGAAGGCAGUGUGCGGUAGCAGAAGGAAGGAUUUAUGACAUUGAACAGAUUAGUCAACAAUUGAGAGAGAUUUGAACUUAUAUCCUUUGCUUACUGAAAAGAUAAGUCGUCUCCUAUGGUGUUUUAGCUGUUAACCUUUCAUCUUGGAGGCUCUUGUAGUUAAUUAAGGAACAUUAGAAGAAAUCCGGAUACCAUUAAGUUAUGAAAUUAUGGAGCAUUGGUUGUAUUAGUCCUCAUUUGCCCCGGAAUGUAGUUGUGCCCAUGGUUCUAAAGAAAGCAUAAAAGUGCCUUUUUUCCGUUGGGAACGAAGCUGUUAAAUUUUCAUCCUGGAUGCUCUUGUAGUUAAUUAAGGUGAGCAUACAUAGUGUAUUUGUUUGAUAUUAAAAGACAAAAGGGUACGACGUUAUAAUUAAUUUUAAUUGCUCUUUAUUAAUCUGUUAUGGAAUUUCUGUUAACAAUUAUCAACAGUAUAA